GUGCUUGCUUCAGCAGCACAUAUGCUAAAAUUGGAUCCAUUCAGAGAGGAUGAGCAUGGCGCCUGCACAAGGAUGACACUCAGAGUCGUGAAGUGUUCUGUAUUUUU